rnacentral:lncRNA from 1 species
CUGCAGCCUGUGGCCUGCGGUGUGACAGGAGCAUGACAAGGAAAUAGGUCUUUUAACUACCUGUGUGACCUUCAACAAGAGGGUAGCGGUCUGGAGCAAAGUUCCCUAAGCCUCCACGGCAUGAGGUGGGGCCCGAGACUCCCCGGGGUGCCUUCCCGAUGGAGUCUGAUGCAGAUGCCCACCUGGGAGAAGGAGCACCCGUGGUGGGGAAGCAGCACC